UGCGCUGGAAAUGCAGAUUUUGAAACAACCGAUUGAAUUUACGAUGCAGAUGAACAGUUAGCAAUUGGUACACCUGAACAGUCCACCUACCUCCAUCUCUCCUUCGCCUCUCGUAAUCUGUAAUUACGAACCAUUAAAAUUCAUGUUAAAGUGUUUUCACAGGUUCGGCGAGGGGAAGAAGAUAGAUUUAUAAUUUUAGUACGUAAGUUUUGUUGUGUAACGGGUACGAGUCCGACUCGGUGGCGGAGGGAAUUUUUAUAACUGUCACUGUAGCACUGAAGUAAGUCGUCAUGUGUUAUUCCAGAGGUGAUCACACGUGAGACGGAGAAUUGUUAAAUUCUUGGUAAAGGUCAGGUGAUGCUUCCGAUGGUGGUUGGGUCAUGGCGUAAACAUUUACUCGGGAGAAGUAUGUAUAAUUCAAUUUAGAGAUUCACCAGCGACUUCUCCAUCUCGACGAUCAUUUUACUUCCUGGGAGCGACUGAGAAAAUUCAAUAAAUUUCUCGCAAUAUGUUAUGGAGAAUAUGGAAAGUAGAGAAAGGAACGAAAUUCACGAUGUCGAUAUCGGCGAAACGAAAUUGCCAGUUGAAUGGGUCAGUGGGUCGUCCCCAUGUGGACAUGUGCGUCGCCACUCGUCAAGAGUUCAGACUUGACAGCGACUUUGGUGAGAUCUCUCUUUCCAGGACCGGUCUCUAGAGUGAUUCUGUAAUGGGCGAAUAGGAUCACUGAAUUCAAGGAAUUUCUCGUCGCCAGAUGGGGAAAAAUUAUUUUUGCC